GACGAACGCUGGCGGCGUGCUUAACACAUGCAAGUCGAGCGGUAAGGCCCUUUCGGGGGUACGACGAGCGGCGAACGGGUGGAGUAACACGUGGGUGACCUGCCCUCCAGCUCUGGGAGUAAGCCUGGGAAACCGGGGUCUAAUACCGGAUAUGACUCCAUGACGCAUGUUGUGGGGUGGAAAGCCUUGUGCGGCUGAGGAUGGGCCCGCGGCCUAUCAGCUUGUUGGUGGGGUGAUGGCCUACCAAGGCGACGACGGGUAGCCGGCCUGAGAGGGCGACCGGCCACACUGGGACUGAGACACGGCCCAGACUCCUACGGGAGGGCAGCAGUGGGGAAUCUUGCGCAGUGGGCGAAAGCCUGACGCAGCGACGCCGCGUGAGGGAUGACGGCCU
rnacentral:rRNA from 1 species